GGUUUCUUGGGGUUUAAUAGGAAAUUUAAUCUGCUCACUGAUCGUUAAAGAGCUGCAGUAUUAUGACUGUACAAAGGUAGCAUAAUCAUUAGCCUUUUAAUUGGUGGCUGGAAUGAAGGAUUGGACGAAGUAUUACUGUCUUAAACUAAUUAAAUGAAUUUUCUUUUUGUGUGAAAAAGCGCAGAUAAUAAUAAAGGACAAGAAGACCCUUUUAAGAUUAAUAUUUUUGAGGUAAAAUGUUUUAUUAUAAACUAAUUAUUUUUAUUUAGUGUUUUGCUGGGGCGGCAAGUAUUAUUUAACAAUACUUUAAUAAAUGUUUGUUGAUUAAUUAAAGCUGAGAGCCUUGAGAAGGCUAUUAGAGUAAGCUACUAAAGGGAUAACAGUGCAAUGUUUAUUGAGAGUUCUUAUUGACAUAAAUGUUUACUA
rnacentral:rRNA from 1 species